UACGUAGGGUGCGAGCGUUGUCCGGAAUUAUUGGGCGUAAAGAGCUUGUAGGUGGUUUGUCGCGUCUGCUGUGAAAAUCCGAGGCUCAACCUCGGACUUGCAGUGGGUACGGGCAGACUAGAGUGUGGUAGGGGAGACUGGAAUUCCUGGUGUAGCGGUGAAAUGCGCAGAUAUCAGGAGGAACACCGGUGGCGGAAGGCGGGUCUCUGGGCCGAUACUGACG
rnacentral:rRNA from 1 species